GACUCGAUGACGUAGUGGUAGCGCAUUAGGACAGAUAUCAAGAUCACUCUCGCGGAAGUCGCCGCCUCGCCGAUUCGAAUCCCGCUCGAGUCG